CCGGAGGCGUGUUCACGGGCCGCACCUGCUCACCGCCGUCUCAAUAUUAGCACGCAGAUGCUCUGCGUGGGUGAAGCUAGUACCUAUUUGCCAAAAUAAUAAAGGUUAUAGGUCUCUUCACAAGUUAUGCAAAUGACACAAUGAAAUAUUGCCCCCCCAUCCCACUUCUAAUGUUUCUUUUUUUAAAAAAACUUGUCAAAUGUGAUAAAGAUGUCUGUAAUCUGUCACUUGCCAGGAGGCAUUACUCUUGAUGACCUCUCUCUCUAUAAACCUCUCCACAAUCAAACUGGGAACCCCUCAAAAACGAAAUUCUGCAUGAGAAUGCCCUAUAUCUGGAUCAGCACUAACUUAGUAAUAGACAGAAUUAUUAAUAGACAAAAUAUGAUGGGUGUUGUAGGCGCAAGAGGCAAAACGCAUUAAAUGCUACCCCUUCUUCUGAUUUCUCACUUCCAGAGAUCCCGGAAGGCAAAAAUAGGGAGGAAAAAACAGGGAAAAUGGGAACAGAAACAAGAAUAUUGGAUGGCCCCUGCUGGAAUAAAAGGAGAAAGAAAAAAUACUACUGGAAUUGUAUGGCGUUCAGCGCAAUGCCCCUAUUUUAAUAUUCUACCUUGGACACCGGGGCGCUGAAGGCUGACCCUGCUUUGAAGAUAAAAGUUUUCUCUCUAAGUAGCUGUUGGCAGACUCCCAACAGGAUGUGUGUAUAGCAGAUGGUUUAACAGCAAGACAAGGCCAAAGAGCUGAUAAUUCUGCCCAGUGAAUGGCUAUUUGCCCACCACCUUUUCUUACGGGGUAAAUGGCAGAGAGGUUACUUAAUAAUUUACAUGCAGCACUCUAUACAUCCAAGUAUACAAGUGAUGUAUUAUUUUCCCAUCUAGAGCUAGGGAAAUUGAUUGUAUACUAUAUCUUCCAUUUGCUGCCUUUAUCUGUAUUUAUAACUUCUGCUGAGUCCAAGGAUCUGUUGAACUGAGCAGCCCCGAGAAUCUAUAUAUAUUUCUCUUCGGCA